rnacentral:tRNA from 1 species
GCCUGGGUGGCUCAGUUGGUGGAGCAUGCAACUCUUGAUCUUGGGGUUGUGGGUUUGAACCCCACACUGGGUG